AUAUAUACAGGUCCUUUGGAGAAGAGAGA
rnacentral:piRNA from 1 species